UACGGAGGGUGCAAGCGUUAAUCGGAAUUACUGGGCGUAAAGCGCACGCAGGUGGCUGAGUCAGUCGAUUGUGAAAGCCCUGGCUUAACCUGGGAAUUGCAGUCGAUACUACUCGGCUCGAGUAUGGGAGAGGGCAGUGGAAUUCCGGUGUAGCCGGUGAAAUGCGUAGAUAGUCGGAGAACAUCAGUGGCGAAGGCGGGUCUCUGGGCAGUAACUGACGCUGAGGAGCGAAAGCGUGGGGAGCGAAGAGG
rnacentral:rRNA from 1 species